GAUUAUGGCGGGACGUGGCGGGGAGGCCACCGCGCCUGCUGGUUUCAUGUACGCCAGUCUGUCAACCCCGUCACGUCCUGCCACCCCG
rnacentral:antisense_RNA from 1 species